rnacentral:rRNA from 1 species
CUACGGGGUGCUGCAGUGAGGAAUAUUGCGCAAUGGGGGAAACCCUGACGCAGCGACGCCGCGUGGAUGAUGAAGGCCUUCGGGUCGUAAAAUCCUGUCAGAAGGAAAGAAGUGUAUGGUAGCUAAUAUCUGCCAUACUUGACGGUACCUUCAAAGGAAGCACCGGCUAACUCCGUGCCAGCAGCCGCGGUAAUACGGAGGGUGCAGGCGUUGUUCGGAAUUACUGGGCGUAAAGCGCGCGUAGGCGGUUUUAUAAGUCAGAUGUGAAAGUCCACGGCUCAACCAUGGCAGUGCAUUUGAAACUGUAAGACUUGAGUAUUGGAGGGGGUAGUGGAAUUCCCGGUGUAGAGGUGAAAUUCGUAGAUAUCGGGAGGAAUACCGGUGGCGAAGGCGACUAUCUGGCCAAAUACUGACGCUGAGGUGCGAAAGCGUGGGGAGCAAACAGGAUUAGAUACCCUCGUAGUC